rnacentral:rRNA from 1 species
GACGAACGCUGGCGGCGUGCUUAACACAUGCAAGUCGAACGGUGAAGCGCCUUCCUUUUUGGUGGGUGUGGAUGAGUGGCGAACGGGUGAGUAACACGUGAGUAACCUGCCCCCUUCUUCUGGAUAACCGCAUGAAAGUGUGGCUAAUACGGGAUAUUCUGGGCCUGUCGCAUGAUGGGUCUGGGAAAGAUAUUGUUUCGGUGGGGGAUGGGCUCGCGGCCUAUCAGCUUGUUGGUGGGGUGAUGGCCUACCAAGGCGGUGACGGGUAGCCGGCCUGAGAGGGUGGACGGUCACACUGGGACUGAGACACGGCCCAGACUCCUACGGGAGGCAGCAGUGGGGAAUAUUGCACAAUGGGCGCAAGCCUGAUGCAGCGACGCCGCGUGAGGGAUGGAGGCCUGCGGGUUGUGAACCUCUUUCGCCAGUGAAGCAGGCCUGCCUCGUUUGUGGGUGGGUUGACGGUAGCUGGAUAAGAAGCGCCGGCUAACUACGUG